rnacentral:rRNA from 1 species
AUUGAACGCUGGCGGCAUGCCUUACACAUGCAAGUCGAACGGCAGCACGGGUGCUUGCCCCUGGUGGCGAGUGGCGAACGGGUGAGUAAUACAUCGGAACAUGUCCUGUAGUGGGGGAUAGCCCGGCGAAAGCCGGAUUAAUACCGCAUACGAUCUACGGAUGAAAGCGGGGGCCCUUCGGGCCUCGCGCUAUAGGGUUGGCCGAUGGCUGAUUAGCUAGUUGGUGGGGUAAAGGCCUACCAAGGCGACGAUCAGUAGAUGGUCUGAGAGGACGACCAGCCACACUGGGACUGAGACACGGCCCAGACUCCUACGGGAGGCAGCAGUGGGGAAUUUUGGACAAUGGGCGAAAGCCUGAUCCAGCAAUGCCGCGUGUGUGAAGAAGGCCUUCGGGUUGUAAAGCACUUUUGUCCGGAAAGAAAUCCUUGGCUCUAAUACAGUCGGGGGAUGACGGUACCGGAAGAAUAAGCACCGGCUAACUACGUG